AAUAGAAGUCCAAGGUUUUUGAAGAUUUCCUUGACCUGUCACUGCCUGUUUCAACAGAGUUUGAUGUUCCCAAAAAAGACAAAAAAAAGCCUAAUGAAACUGCAAAAGAUGAUAAACCCUUAAGUAAACACCAACAAAAAAUGAAAGCUAAAGCCACAAGAAAGAAUACACGAAAUAAAAAACGCUCUCAAAGCAAGUCAGAGAGCAAUGCUAGUGAUGAAAACAAAGAUUUAAAGCCAAAAAAAACUGAAGAUUCAGAAAAUACUUCAGAUUAUACAAACAUAGAAUUACAAGAGUUGAGUAACGAAACA
rnacentral:lncRNA from 1 species